UCUAGCGCUCAUAGUUUUAUUGUCUGUCAGACUAACAACAUGUAAACGAGAUAUUUUGUUUUUAUAUGUGUAAUAUAUGUAAAGACCGCGCUCUAGGAGAGAUCGUCUGAUAGUAUACAAAUGGAAGCCAAAUCGAAUACCCAAAAACAACUGUAAGACAAAGCUCUUCCGUCAGCCCCUGCAAUGCCCCAGGCUUACCGAUAUGGAGGACAAGUUCCAAUGAAGUAAUGGUUGUAAGGGGGUUGUAAGAGUCUAAGGUAGAUUUCCCAUUUCAGCGAGAGCUCUCCAAUUUGUAUUUUCUAUGAUACGAAGAUGCAAUUACUUCGACUAACACUGUAUUCUUUCUUGGGUAUCAGAAGCACAUUUUGAUUUCUCGACUCAAAAAAAUUGAAAUAAAAUAAAUCAAUCAACAAAU
rnacentral:sRNA from 1 species